rnacentral:rRNA from 1 species
CCUACGGGUGGCAGCAGUGGGGAAUAUUGCACAAUGGGGGAAACCCUGAUGCAGCAACGCCGCGUGAGUGAAGAAGUCUUCCGGUAUGUAAAGUUCUUCAAGCAGGGAAGAAGAUGACGGUACCUGUAUAAGAAGCACCGGCUAACUCCGUGCCAGCAGCCGCGGUAAUACGUAGGGGGCAAGCGUUAUCCGGAUUUACUGGGCGUAAAGGGAGCGCAGACGGCAGUGCAAGUCUGAUGUGAAAGCCCGGGGCCCAACCCCGGAACUGCACUGGAAACUGUGCGGCUAGAGUGCUGGAGGGGCAGACGGAAUUCCUGGUGUAGCGGUGAAAUGCGUAGAUAUUAGGAGGAACACCAGUGGCGAAGGCGGUCUGCUGGACAGUAACUGACGUUGAGGCUCGAAAGCGUGGGGAGCAAACGGGAUUAGAUACCCCGGUAGUC